rnacentral:lncRNA from 1 species
CAUGCUGUCACCUCUCACUGUGACCCAGUCCUAGCCAAUGCCACAUAAGAAGGACCAAUGCUAGGGGCUUCUAGGAAUGAUUCCUCACUUCUAGAAAGAAAUUUUUAAAAUGAGGUGGCCUUUCUUCUGCAAGUAGCUAUUGUCCUGCUGCAGUGUGAGUUCUAAAUUUGCUUCAGCAGCCUCCACCCAGCCCAAAGAUAAUAUCAAUACACAGAAGAAGAAGAGUCAGGAGACGAUGAGAGAAGUUCUGGACUCCAAGGAACAACACUCAGAGCUUGCCUUCCCUCAGACUUCUUGUUAUGGAUUAGUCAGAAUAGAUGAAAACUGAUGAGUCAUCCUGAGAGCAUGAACCCCAGUGGAUUGUAGGGGUUGACUACAGUAUUGAGAAAUAUUAAAAUAACAAAAAGUACAGAAGAGGCAGGGAUCUCAAAAAGUGCUCAGUGGAACCACCACUUAUUGUGAGUCAACAUUCAGGACACAGUUGUUUCUUCAGACAGAGUUCACUCUAUGAAAACACUAUGAGCAAGACUUCCUCGCCCCCAUGACCUGGUGUUGUGUCUGAUCACCCCAACAUUCCUGGCUGCCCAAUGUGGGGCAAUGAAGACCCCAGUGAAGGAAUGCUAGAGUGUGUGAAAGUGGAGGACGCAUCGUCAAAGGACACCUGAGGACGUCUCAAAGAAGCUCGGCGGGAGAGCUGAGCGCUCGGAAGAACCAAGAAUCAUCUCUUUUGAAAAAUCGAUUCAUCAAAUGAAUCUUCAGCCAACAACUGUUCAAGAAGGAUGCAAAUAUCACAGUGUUAGAUGAACUUUCUGGUUGACACCUGACAGGAAGAGCCUCUGUAUUGGACCACCAUGUUUGUGCUCACUGUGUAGUAACAAACCAACACACCAAAAUAGCGGGAGUUGCCACUGACAAAGAGUUGAAUGAUCAAAUGACGGCCAAAGGAGGAGGUAGGACGCAACCUCAAAUUCACUGCCCCAAGGAGUUUUAGAAUGGGGUUUUCAAGGGACUUUUGGCAGAUAGAGGGCUGAGGAGUGGGGGGGUUACUGAUUAGUUAGGGUGUGGGGGAUGAAAACAUAAAGAUAUAGUAAGUGCAUUCUAGGAUCAAAUCAGUUCCUUAAAGUGGGUAUUUACACAGGAUGGUAUCAGUGGAUCUGUUGGAAUGCAGGAUCUGGAAAAUAUGGAAAAUUUGAAACUUCUUCACAUUACAGAAGUUAUCUAUAGAAGUUAGGGCCUUGUAAUACAGGCUAUAAGCUAUAAGCAGCUAUAAGAAAGUGGCCUGUGGGGCAUAGCUGGUUAAUGUUUAACUACCCUUCAACUCAAAAGCUUUGAUUUUGCUAAAAACCUAGACAUUCAUUCAGUUUUAUUGAUUUUAUAAGGAUGGUGUCACCUUCAUUAAACACAUUUGUUCUGAGGGACAGUUGGGCCGCAGUGGCCAUUGACUUAUGUGGCCAAAAUGCUUGCAUUGACCAAAAACUUGCUUUCACAUGAAUAAAAAUAUUCCUCCAAAAUAAGCACUUGUUUUGAGAGUCUCUGAAAAACAAUCAUUGUAUAUAAGAAAUAUAUUUUGUGGUUAAUGACAUAAUUUUACUUUACUCAGGGAAGGCUGUUUCUCUCAGUACAUCGUUCAACUUUGGCACCAGCCAACAUUCUCAGGACUCCCAUAAAGCCAACCAACUAAGCAAAAUCCUGAAUAUUGUUCACUAAUCCUGAUUCUGCCUCCUUUCUAGGUGUGAAUUCAAAGGCAGCAUUACUCCCCAUUUUCUUCCCUCUCCUGUGUCUCUCCCCUGAGGCUUCUCUGCAAAACAUCACUGCCCAGCUUAGCAUCUGUCCUGGGCACUGGUAAUAAUGUGGUACCAUUCAUCCUCUCCUAGCAUUUGAUCACUCAUCAGGAGCCCUCAGCCCCAUGGGGAAGAGGACAGAAGAAGAAACCAGUGAGCUCCUGAUUUCUUGCUUCUUUCUGUCAGUGUUUUUUCUAAUAUCUCCAAGUUGCAAGAGAGAAGUAGAAGCUACAUGGCAUUCACCCUAAACCUACUUGCAUGAUGCAUUCUGUUUGUCUUAGAAGGAUCAUUGUACUUUAUCAUAAGAGGAAAAAACAUUCUCCAUUCUAGCAAUUCUCUGGAUGAUUCUGCCUUAAAUAGAGGGAGUUUUACUGUCUAGAUUGAGCUUCUGCUCCUUGGUCCACUCCUCUUGAAACUUUACUGAGGUUGUUUAUUAAAUCUAGGAGUCUUUUUGAGGAACCUUUAGGGUUUUCUAGGUAUAUAAUC